CUGAACCCCACACAGCUGUCCUUGGCUGGCUUAAUAAAUCUCUGAUUUACCCCUGCUGUAUCCAGAAUUAAAAGGAAACUGUCUUCCCCCUUUACAGCACUAUGGUCCCGAAUAGAGUCAAGCCUGACUGCGCUUUAACAAAUAUCACUAAAUACCACUGAAUAAUAUUUUUCCUUAACAGGCACACUGGGGUUAACUUGCUCAAGGUUACUCAGCCAGUAAGUCACCGUGACACCCUGAUUUGAACCCAGCAGUCUGCUUCGGGAGCACACUCUUAGCCUUUGCCUCCUCCACCCUACAGCUGUCCCUCUCUUUUCUCUCUACAGCGUCAACAGGAAUCACCUUCAACAUGAAUUCUUGUGUGUGUACGCGCUAGGAUCAAACCUAGGGCUUUGUGCACACCAGACUGGGAACCGGUCUCACUGUGUUGCCCAUGCCUGCCUCCAACUCUCCAUCCUCCUGCCUCAGUCUCCGAAGUAGCUGGGAUUCCUGGCCUGUGCCACUACACCCGGCCAGAAAGAUUAAGAACGAAGCCACUAGGAUCAGAAGUGUUGCCGCCCCACCUGGCCCAAAUCAGAACUAUGAACGAAGCAAAAUAGGAAGAAGCUCACAAGGUCCCCACUUCCCCACCCAGAGUGCCACAUGUGACACUGGCCACUGGAUGUCACCUUCCUGAUCACGGUGUCCUCGUCGCCCCCGACCCCCCACCCCCGCAGGAAUAAGAGAAGGACUCACCUGGUAUUCUCUUCUCUACCAAAAUAAAGCAGCCAGAGUUUUUAUCUCUUUAAAAUACAAAGAAAUUAUGCUGGUUUUAAAAAUCUUAUUAAAGAUUAACACGCAAUAGCUGAGAACAUACAGGUGUCUGAGACGGGCAGGAAAACAAUCGGGUCAAGAGGGAAGGGAUUCUGUGAUGUCAGUCGAGACCACUCCCCAGGUCUCACGUUUUCAUUUCUGCAGGGGCUAGGGAUUGAACCCGGGGCUGUGGUACUGCAGGCGAGCACUCUCUCUACCACUGAGCUAAUCCCCUAGCCCAACUUUGAUAUUUUACUUUUCGUAGUGUGAUCGCCAACCCGACUCUGUCUUGUGCCUCAACGCCAUUUUGCACCUGUGCUCCAACGAAGUGCCUGCCCUUGAACAAAGGACAACCCCCCCACACCCCGCCCC
rnacentral:lncRNA from 1 species